rnacentral:rRNA from 1 species
CCUACGGGAGGCUGCAGUGAGGAAUAUUGGUCAAUGGGCGUAAGCCUGAACCAGCCAAGUCGCGUGAGGGAUGAAGGUUCUAUGGUUCGUAAACCUCUUUUAUAAGGGAAUAAAGUGUGGGACGUGUCCUAUUUUGUAUGUACCUUAUGAAUACGGCUCGGCUAACUCCGUGCCAGCAGCCGCGGUAAUACGGAGGAUCCGAGCGUUAUCCGGAUUUAUUGGGUUUAAAGGGUGCGUAGGCGGCCUUUUAAGUCAGCGGUGAAAGUCUGUGGCUCAACCAUAGCAUUGCCGUUGAAACUUGGGGGCUUGAGUAUGUUUGAGGCAGGCGGAAUGCGUGGUGUAGCGGUGAAAUGCUUAGAUAUCACGCAGAACCCCGAUUGCGAAGACAGCCUGCCAAGCCAUGACUGACGCUGAUGCACGAAAGCGUGGGGAUCAAACAGGAUUAGAUACCCGGGUAGUC